rnacentral:misc_RNA from 1 species
GAUGAAGAACGCAGCGAAAUGCGAUAAGUAGUGUGAAUUGCAGAAUUCAGUGAAUCAUCGAAUCUUUGAACGCACAUUGCGCCCCUUGGUAUUCCAUGGGGCAUGCCUGUUCGAGCGUCAUUUGUACCUUCAAGCUUUGCUUGGUGUUGGGUGUUUGUCCUGAGGGACUCGCCUUAAAGUAAUUGGCAGCCAGUGUUUGGUUUUGAAGCGCAGCACAAGUCGCGAUUCAAGGCUAUACACCAGCGUCCACAAGCCUUUUUCACUUUUGACCUCGGAUCAGGUAGGGAUACCCGCUGAACUUAAGCAUAUCAAUAAGCGGAGGA